GAUCAUGGCUCAGGAUGAACGCUAGCUACAGGCUUAACACAUGCAAGUCGAGGGGCAGCAUGACCUAGCAAUAGGUUGAUGGCGACCGGCGCACGGGUGAGUAACACGUAUCCAACCUACCGGUUAUUUCAGGAUAGCCUUUCGAAAGAAAGAUUAAUACCGGAUAGUAUAACGAGAAGUCAUCUUCUUGUUAUUAAAGAAUUUCGAUAACCGAUGGGGAUGCGUUCCAUUAGUUUGUUGGCGGGGUAACGG
rnacentral:rRNA from 1 species